GGGGGGGGGGGACGGUGUAGAGGGAGUUUAACGCUGUCUCUCCCCCUUUCAGGAAUGGCCAGUUUUCCGUCUUUGACCACGCUCACUCCCGGAACGUGGUGGUGGAGGACGGCAGGGUGCGAGGCAUGAGUGGCGGACAUUACCACUUCCACCUCUGCCUGACCCAGAACCACCGCGGGGAGUACAGGGAGUUAGUCCUGAGAGCGCAGACCCUGAGCCAGAAGCUAAGGUGGAUCUCGUGUCUCAGUCACAUCCAACAGGAAAUCGAUCUCACACAACACUACGACUCCCGCCAGGUACAGUGUGUAAAACCCUACCGCGCUGUGGAAUAUGAUGAACUGACCCUGGAGAAAGCUGAUGUCCUCCUGGUCCUACAGAGAAGUGG